GCAACAUUAAGACCGUCAGUCUAUAGAGCAAUACCACCCGUUUCGUGGAAGAUUUUCGCUUUGUCUA
rnacentral:pre_miRNA from 1 species